AUAUCUUGAGAAUCCAUAUUCCUAGAUGUUUCGACCAUUCUUGUGAUAUAGCCCGGAAAGUUUAGCGAGCAACGAAAGUAAAGAUGUUCGCGAUUCGCAGCAGCUUAACAAACACGUCCCGCUUGUCGGGCGUUGUUGCCAGGUCGUAUCACAGUUUAAUUCUUAGCACGCCGCCAAGGGUGAAAAUUUCUAACGCUGAAAAGCUAGUUUCAUUCUUGUGUCUCGCUGGAUCAGUACUAAUAUCACCCAUGUAUUUUGUGCCUAAUUUUAAGAACUAUUAUGCCAAGAAAAGUUCUUAAGGAGAUUAGAUCGAAGUUUCAAAUGUCAUCUUAGCUUGAAAAUUAAUGGUAUCAAAGUUAUUAUUUAUGACCCUACAAUGACACAUAUUUAUGGAUCCAUUGGAGGUACAGCUAGAUUGUUAAUAAAUACAUAAAAAUAAAAA